AUGCCGGUGAUCUCGUCACCCUCUGGUGCACCGCAUUACCAGUCUAUUUUUAGCUUCGGCGACUCCUUAGCUGACACCGGCACUGGCCCUGUCAUCUUCGAGCGGUUCUCCAUCUUCAACCCUGUCAGACGACCUCCCUAUGGCAGCACCUUCUUUGGCCACCCCAGUGGCCGAGACUGCGAUGGCCGGCUCAUCAUCGACUUCAUUGGUACAUACUACUAA
rnacentral:rRNA from 1 species